UCCCAGGUGGCUCAGCGGUAGAGAAUCUGCCUGCCAAGCAGGAGACAGUUUCAAUCCCUGGGUG
rnacentral:tRNA from 1 species